UACGUAGGGGGCAAGCGUUGUCCGGAAUCAUUGGGCGUAAAGCGCGCGUAGGCGGCCCUGUAAGUCCGUUGUGAAAGUCAAAGGCUCAACCUUUGAAAGCCGAUGGAUACUGCAGGGCUAGAGUCCGGAAGAGGCGAGUGGAAUUCCUGGUGUAGCGGUGGAAUGCGCAGAUAUCAGGAGGAACACCAAUAGCGAAGGCAGCUCGCUGGGACGGUACUGACGCUGGAGACGCGAAAGCGUGGGGAGCGAACAGG
rnacentral:rRNA from 1 species